UACGAAGGACCCGAGCGUUAUCCGGAUUUAUUGGGUUUAAAGGGUGCGUAGGCGGAUUUACAAGUCAGUGGUGAAAUCUCCCGGCUUAACCGGGAAACUGCCAUUGAAACUGUUUAUCUUGAGUACAUUUGAGGCGGGCGGAAUGUGUCAUGUAGAGGUGAAAUUCUUAGAUAUGACACAGAACACCAAUUGCGAAGGCAGCUCGCUAAACUGUAACUGACGCUGAGGCACGAAAGUGUGGGGAUCAAACAGG
rnacentral:rRNA from 1 species